GUAGGUGGCAAGCGUUGUCCGGGAAUUAUUGGGGCGUAAAGCGCGCGCAGGCGGUUCUUUAAGUCUGAUGCGAAAGCCCACAACUCAACCAUGGAGGGUCAUUGGAAACUGGAGAACUUGAGUACAGAAGAGGAAAGCGGAAUUCCACGUGUAGCGGUGAAAUGCGUAGAGAUGUGGAGGAACACCAGUGGCGAAGGCGGCUUUCUGGUCUGUAACUGACGCUGAGGCGCGAAAGCGUGGGGAGCAAACAGGAUUAGAUACCCUGGUAGUCCACGCCGUAAACGAUGAGUGCUAAGUGUUAGGGGGUUUCCGCCCCUUAGUGCUGCAGCUAACGCAUUAAGCACUCCGCCUGGGGAGUACGGCCGCAAAGGCUGA
rnacentral:rRNA from 1 species